AACGAACGCUGGCGGCAUGCCUAACACAUGCAAGUCGAACGAUAACUUCGGGUCUAGUGGCGCACGGGUGCGUAAGGCGUGGGAACCUGCCCUUAGGUUCGGAAUAACUCCGCGAAAGGGGUGCUAAUACCGGAUAAUGUCUUCUACCCAAAGAUUUAUCGCCUUUGGAUGGGUGCGCGUUGGAUUAGCUAGUUGGUAGGGUAAAAGCCUACCAAGGCGACGAUCCAUAGCUGGUCUGAGAGAAUGAUCAGCCACACUGGGAGUGGGACACGGCGCAGACUCUUACGGGAAGCAGGAGUGGGGAAUAUUGGACAACGGGCGAAAGGCUGAUCCAGCAAGGCCGCGUGAGUGAUGAAGGACGGAGGGUUGUAAAGCUCUUUUACCCGGGAUGAUAAUGACAGUACCGGGAGAAUAAGCUCCGGCUAACUCCGUG
rnacentral:rRNA from 1 species